rnacentral:rRNA from 1 species
AACGAACGCUGGCGGCAUGCCUAACACAUGCAAGUCGAACGAGACCUUCGGGUCUAGUGGCGCACGGGUGCGUAACGCGUGGGAAUCUGCCCUUGGGUUCGGAAUAACAGUUGGAAACGACUGCUAAUACCGGAUGAUGACGUAAGUCCAAAGAUUUAUCGCCCAAGGAUGAGCCCGCGUAGGAUUAGCUAGUUGGUGAGGUAAAGGCGCACCAAGGCGACGUUCCUUAGCUGGUCUGAGAGGAUGAUCAGCCACACUGGCACUGGGACACGGCCCAGACUCCUACGGGAGGCAGCAGUGGGGGAUAUUGGACAAUGGGCGAAAGCCUGAUGCAGCUCUGCCGCGUGAGUGAUGAAGGCCUUAGGGUUGUACAGCUCUUUUACCCGGGAUGAUAAUGACGGUACCGGGAGAAUAAGCACCGGCUAACUCCGUG